rnacentral:tRNA from 1 species
GCCCGGAUAGCUCAGUCGUAAGAGCAUCAGACUUUUAAUCUGAGGGUCCAGGGUUCAAGUCCCUGUUCGGGCG